rnacentral:rRNA from 1 species
UACGUAGGGUGCGAGCGUUAAUCGGAUUUACUGGGCGUAAAGCGUGCGCAGGCGGCCCGUUAAGACAGGUGUGAAAUCCCUGGGCUCAACCUAGGAAUUGCGCUUGUGACUGGCGGGCUCGAGUACGGUAGAGGGGGGUGGAAUUCCUGGUGUAGCAGUGAAAUGCGUAGAGAUCAGGAGGAACACCGAUGGCGAAGGCAGCCCCCUGGGCCGGUACUGACGCUCAUGCACGAAAGCGUGGGGAGCAAACAGG